rnacentral:lncRNA from 1 species
GGUACAGAAAUAAAUAUAAAUUUUAAGAGGGUAUUCGUGCAAAUUUGAAUUUUUAGAAGGAUAUUCAUGCAAAAAAUCCUAAUAUAUAUAUAGAAUAAAAAAUGAAAUAAAUUUUAAUGCUUAGGUCAUUGCAAAAUGUGGUCUUGCAUCAUUUUAAUUAUUCAAUUUUGCACCCAUUUCAAGCAUAGGUUAGAGACAACGAAAGCACAAGAUUUUUUAUUUGUAAGCAUUUUUAGCGAUAAAGAUCAUGAUCAACAACGUGGAUUUUUUAAAUUUGGAUGCCCCAUUAUUGAUUUCAGACUUAGAGAAGUAGAUAGAUAAAUAGAUAUGAUCACUAUCUACAUAUAUUAAGACAUAUAAAAAUAUAGUAAAGCACAUUAUCCAGUUAUGGUCCCAACAAUCCGAGAUCCUG